AGUCAAACAACUAGCAUUAAAAAUAAGCUAAAAAUAAUCUAUUGUUAACUUAUCAACAACUACAACCGAUUAAACAAAUCAUUUU
rnacentral:rRNA from 1 species